GGCGAGUGAAGCGGCAACAGCUCAAAUUUGAAAUCUGGCUCUUUUAGAGUCCGAGUUGUAAUUUGCAGAGGGCGCUUUGGCUUUGGCAGCGGUCCAAGUUCCUUGGAACAGGACGUCACAGAGGGUGAGAAUCCCGUACGUGGUCGCUGGCUAUUGCCGUGUAAAGCCCCUUCGACGAGUCGAGUUGUUUGGGAAUGCAGCUCUAAAUGGGAGGUACAUUUCUUCUAAAGCUAAAUAUUGGCCAGAGACCGAUAGCGCACAAGUAGAGUGAUCGAAAGAUGAAAAGCACUUUGGAAAGAGAGUCAAACAGCACGUGAAAUUGUUGAAAGGGAAGCGCUUGCAGCCAGACUUGCUUACAGUUGCUCAUCCGGGUUUUUACCCGGUGCACUCUUCUGUAGGCAGGCCAGCAUCAGUUUGGGCGGUAGGAUAAAGGUCUCUGUCACGUACCUCCUUUCGGGGAGGCCUUAUAGGGGAGACGACAUACUACCAGCCUGGACUGAGGUCCGCGCAUCUGCUAGGAUGCUGGCGUAAUGGCUGUAAGCGGCCCGUCUUGAAACACGGACCAAGGAGUCUAACAUCUAUGCGAGUGUUUGGGUGUCAAGCCCGAGCGCGUAAUGAAAGUGAACGGAGGUGGGAACCCGCAAGGGUGCACCAUCGACCGAUCCUGAUGUCUUCGGAAGGAUUUGAGUAAGAGCAUGGCUGUUGGGACCCGAAAGAUGGUGAACUAUGCUUGAAUAGGGUGAAGCCAGAGGAAACUCUGGUGGAGGCUCGCAGCGGUUCUGACGUGCAAAUCGAUCGUCAAAUUUGGGCAUAGGGGCGAAAGACUAAUCGAA
rnacentral:rRNA from 1 species